UUAGGCUAACAUGUGCUGCCUGGGAAAUUAUAAUACAAAAUAAAAAAGCAAGAUCUAAUCAAAUCCGGCGAGAUCUGAAAAGACAUCUGUAAAAUCUCUUAUUAAUUUAACCAGACCCGCAAUAUAAUGCAAUUCAAAGGCAUUUCUAUAACUGGUGCUGAGAGAAGGACAAAGAUGAUUGAAAUUCCAUUACUGAAUUUAUUAUUAGAUUUUUCCAUUACUGAAAAUUAUCAUUCAUUAUUUCAUCCAUUUCUAUUUUGUGCUCAAAAUUAAUAAAUACCAAGAUCUAACAAAUCGUUUGUUGAUUCACUAUCUCGUCAUGGUCUUUUGUAAGCCAUGUAAUAAUUCUCGAGAAUUGUCCCAGUUCACAGAUUCAUCGUGAUAACGGAAGCGCGCGCCUCCGCAGUGCGCAUCGACGCGAGUGUGAUCUUUGACCGCGAAAGUGGAGGUCAUUAUCCCUUAUCGUUACGGUCAAUAUUAUCGACCCUGAGGACACGGUGCAAGGCAGCGGAACUCGCUGCUCGCUCGCGCGCGAUAGUUCCUAUGGAAACGCGCGAUCGAAUCGCGACACCCGUUCGCCGUUGGUUUCUUCGCGUCAUAAGAGCAUAAGUACCGCGGUGCCAGGUGAACCCAGGGUACGCACACGGCUCCUACCGCAGUCUUGCAAAUAUUGACACGGCGAGAAGCCGUGGCCGACGACCCGCGAGCUGGAGCUAAGCUGGAGAACCGUUCCGGGAGAUUGUCCUCCGGAACUUCGUCGGAACCGGAAGUCCGCGAUUAUCGUCCGUAUUAUCCGAAUCUCGCGAUUGCACUUUUCUUCGUAGAACACGACUUCGCGUGAGUCGGCGAAAUGGUUGGCAAAUAAAACUGGGUCGUGGCCAAUGGGGAUGAUUUUCGAUCAGCGGAAAGGUACGGAAGAUAGCGCAAGAAAUUCUUGACGUGUGUUUUGAGGAAUCUUAACGAAUCUAGUUGAACAAAUAAAAAAACGCGAUUAUUUUACUUAAAUUGUUCGAAAACAAUUAAAACAUGCUGAAGCUUUUAUAGUUUUAGAUUGUUUCUUCUGUUGUUCAACUUUUUGAUAAUACUCUCAGAAACCAGUUGAGAGACGACUGAACGCGCUAAAGGCUUGUGUUACGUCUCUAAAAGCUUCAAAGGCCGAAAAAUGAUGAUAAUUUCUAGACAAACUUUUGUUCUUGCAUAGAAGCUUCUCCCAUAACAAAAUUUCUUAACACUAGAAUUUUGCAAAGUAAAAUAUUGUGGUACCGAAAAUAUGCGAAUGGCUUUGUAGCAACAAUUGGCGAAGAAAUGUCUCGAGUAACGACUUGAUGUGUCUGAUUUUCGCUCGAAGUAUUGGUGGUGGGAAUUCCCGCUGACGAUGUCCGACUAGGUAGGCUCAGUUGAGAAUUAUUGAGCAUUAUUAAGGGUUUAGUUUAGGAUCUCUCUUCGCCUUUCUUCGCCUUUAUCGUUGCUGUCGCGCGUGCUUUGUUACGGCUGCUCGUGAUAAUCGCGUCCGAGGAUGACCGGAAGGACGUCGCUCCUGGAACAGAAGAGGCUCCAGUGGGCAAGAGAAAGAGAAGAGAUGGCGCGUCUCAGCGUUAAUUGGGGAUCGCUAAAGCCGAAUAGCAAUUACGACCGCACCCAUAUUCGCACUUACUCAAAUGACGCCAGAUUGGGAGAAAUAAAAGACAGGCCCUCCGCACAACCGUUUCGUGCAGCCGGACAUUACGGAAGCACCGUCAGUCUGAAGAGCCUAACGACGGAGAGUUCCGGAAGUGGCGGUAGCAAUCUCAAAUGUUUCGACUAUAACGGCGGCAGUUUAAUGAAUCUCCGAGAUCAGGUGGACACCGCACAAAUGAGACGCAGAAGUCCCAGUUUGCCUCCAAUCUUUAGCAAGGACCAGCAGCAGUACUUCCAACUGGAACAACAGCGUGACUUCGGUGUAGAGGGCUCGCCUUACCAGCCGCAGAGGUCGCAAAAACUGGAACACCAUCGCCGCCGGUCCAACGACCAUCGCGAAAAUCAGAAGCAGCAUCAUCAUUACGGCUCGCCAGGCGAAGAGCGCGAGGGCGAGACUUCCGGUUAUGCCAGCGACUCGGUGGAUGCACCUCAGGCAGGACAAAGAGGUCUGAUUGACGGUAAAGUGGCUAGGAUAGAAAUGGCGGAGAAGACGUGGCAGAAUCCUUAUUGCACCACGCCGGAGAGUUCAUUGCCACCGUCGAGAAGACUUUCGCCUGGUAGAAUGGGUGAACUCAACAGGCCAAGGUGGGGCAGUGUCUGGGGUCAGGACGCAAGAGGCGAUCCGCCACCACCUUCUUGGUUAUCAAGAUUAGGACAAUCGAGCCAAGUUCUGGUGAUCAAUCAUGAUAGCGCCAGCAGUCCGGACAGUUCGACAACCGGUUCGACUGGCUCCGAUACCAACAAGAUAUCUUAUCUUCGCGGCCAGAAUAUCCCGGUGGACGCGGACAUCCUUCAGGAGCGAGAAGCAAGGCGACAGAAAGCUCUGGAGCUGCAAAAUGCCAUUAAACAGCAACUGGAGGAAAAAGACAGGCAGAGAAAAGAAGAGAAGGAACAACGGAUGAGAGAGGAAAGAUUGGAAGAUGAGCGAAUCAGACGAGAACAAGAAAAGGAAAGAGAAAGGUUCAAAGAAGAGCAACGGGCGCUACAGGAGAAGGAGGCGGCGAAGAUGAAGAAGGCGCAGGCAAUGCGCGAAGUACUGGAGGCCGCGGAGCGGCUAGCAAUGGAAGAACGAAAGAACCGGCGGAAACGGGAGGAACGCACUAACGAAGACACCGACGUAGUAACUCAGUCUUCUAACGAAUCCUCAAAAGCAAGCAGCAACAGCAAACAGGAGCAGAACUGUUCGCAGGAGCAAGGCACGAGUCCCACUGUCGAUUAUCCCAAAGAUAAGUUGCCCGGUUCGAAGAAUCCGAUGAACACUAAGGAGACCGAUGAUCGCCAAGAAAAUCAGAACAACGAGAAAAAAGAAGGCUACUCCUGGUCGAAUCACGUGGACAAGUUGGAAGGAGCCCCGCUAGACCUGAACCUGAAGCCUCUUCAGGUUCCCGUGAGCAAGGACGUGGCGAUCGUGCUGAGCGGCAGACUCGAAGACUCGGAGAUCUUGAGCAAGGCGAAUCUGCAGCUGGUGAACCUGGUGGUGACCCCGAGCCCGUGCAGGUUCGCCGGAAAUGCCGCGGACUAUCUGUCGCUGGGACUAAAUGCGAUUGGGAGAAAUGGAAGUGCCAGAAAUCCGCGGAGGUCUUCGCGGGACGCUUCCUCCUGUGUCGUGCAGAAUCGACUGCUGACACCGAGCAAGUACCGAACAUCGGCCGGCCGUGACUUCGGCACGCAAACGGACGUGGAGUCCGAUUUUCAGGACAGGGAUCAUCAGUCCAUCAGGGAGCAAGAAAUCACGAAGGACCGGAAGGAAACGACGAACGCCAACCGAAGAAACAUUGAAAAGUCUACCAAUGUGAGUCCAGGUGAAGAAAUAUCCAUGAAGACGCUCCCGCGAUCCAAGUCGCAGCCCAGAACCACGCUCGACAGCAGACCACGAUGGAAUGCUAACCGCCCAGGUACACGAUAUCGGACGCAAAGUGAAAAGGAUCCGCACUAUCAGAGACGAUUGCGAUUAAGAAGGCGACAAGUCGAAUCCAGUGACGAAGGAUCUAGAUCACCAUCUCCCGAUCGGCGAAAAUCGAAUAAUGGAAAGUCCAAGAAUCGAAAUACGAACAGGCGCAAAGCGAAACUCGAGAAUUACGACGCCGAUCUAUCGAUGGACAGUUUAAAUUCCAUCGUUCCUCUGCGAAUUGAUAAGAAUGGGAAAAUCAAUAUCGAGGAGCGUGCCGAGAAAGUCUUAUUGAAGAACGCGUGCAACGAUACAAUUCACGCAGAACGACUGGAUAACGAUAACUCCAAUGUCUGGUGCGGGCAAGAGAUCUUGUCCAAGUUGUCGUCGUUGAGAAGCGGACUUCUAAUGAAGCAGAUCGAGUGGGACUCCGAGCGAUGCCUGGUCUCACCCGCUGCGUCCGAAAUCUUCUGAGCUGCCAAAAGAAUUUCCUUGUCGUCAGAACAUCCUUUUAUUUUUCUUUUCGUUUGCGUAGAAAAUUUAGAUAAUGGCGUUCCAGCUGGACGAUCUGUUAAAGGAUGACAAGAAGGACGCAAAUCUCAUACCCGAUUUGAGCAAGGCAACCUGCA